UAACACGUGGAUAACCUACCUAUAAGACUGGGAUAACUUCUGGAAACCGGAGCUAAUACCGGAUAAUAUUUUGAACCGCAUGGUUCAAAAGUGAAAGACGGUCUUGCUGUCACUUAUAGAUGGAUCCGCGCUGCAUUAGCUAGUUGGUAAGGUAACGGCUUACCAAGGCAACGAUGCAUAGCCGACCUGAGAGGGUGAUCGGCCACACUGGGACUGAGACACGGCCCAG
rnacentral:rRNA from 1 species